rnacentral:rRNA from 1 species
UAACACAUGCAAGUUGAAGGAGAAGUUCAUCUUCGGAUGGAUGGAGACUGGCGCACGGGUGAGUAACGCGUAGACAACCUGCCUAUAACAGGGGGAUAACCACCGGAAACGGUGGCUAAUACCGCAUGAUGCAGCGGGGCCGCAUGGCCACAGUUGUUAAAGCCUUCGGGCGGUUAUAGAUGGGUCUGCGUGCUAUUAGCUAGUUGGUAAGGUAACGGCUUACCAAGGCGAUGAUAGCUAGGGGGUCUGAGAGGAUGAUCCCCCACACUGGGACUGAGACACGGCCCAGACUCCUACGGGAGGCAGCAGUGAGGAAUCUUGCGCAAUGGGGGAAACCCUGACGCAGCCACGCCGCGUGCCGGAAGACGGCCCUAUGGGUCGUAAACGGCUUUUGUUUGGGAAGAAUGUACGGGUUUCGAUCUGUAUUGACGGUACCAAUUGAAUAAGCACCGGCUAACUCCGUGCCAGCAGCUGCGGUAAUACGGAGGGUGCAAGCGUUGUCCGGAAUCAUUGGGUGUAAAGGGUGCGUAGGCUGGUGUCUAAGUCUGGGGUGAAAUCUUGCCGCUUAACGGUAAAAUGGCCUUGGAUACUGGAUACCUUGAAUCUGACAGAGGUCGGUGGAAUUCGUAGUGUAGCGGUGAAAUGCAUAGAUAUUACGAAGAACAUCAGUGGCGAAAGCGGCCGGCUGGGUCAGUAUUGACGCUGAGGCACGAGAGCGUGGGGAGCGA